UUUUUAUUGAAAAAUAAAGCCACUGUUCCUUCAUUAUACUUGCAAAGUGCAGUGGUGAGCACCUCACAAUUCUGUGUUCGAUUCCCAGCUUGGUUUCCAUCUGUGCAGAUUAUCUCACAGUUUCCUCUAAUCUGCCCAUGAAGUUAACCAUCAUUGAUCAGUCUUGUAUAAGUGAGCCUGGGUGUCUCUGAAGGCGUAGUGUUGUGCACAGAUCUGAUUCCCAUUUUGUUCCUGAUACUUCCUACGCAUUUGUAAUGAAAAAAGUUAGUUCAGACAUGGAUGGAUGAAUAGAUCAAUAUGCUUAAAGAAAAUGAAGGAUGCCAUAAAAAGUUUUAUAUAGGUAUUAGACUCACAUUUGGUUCUUUUCACAGGGAUUACCAGUUAUGAUGGGAGCGGAAAGGGUGCAAGUGCCCAAAUAAACUGGUGGAAGAAUUUACAGAGAGCAGGCACGAAGAAACAAGCUGAAUUCAAACUUCAUCCAGCAUGUUAAAAAAUGUGCAAUCAUAUGAAAUAAAACCAGAACAUUGAAAAAUG